CCCCUAGAUGUUCUGGGCCGCACGCGCGCUACACUGAACAGUUCAACAAGUCUUAACCUUGGCCGAUAGGUCUGGGUAAUCUUUGAACGCUGUUCGUGAUUGGGAUAGACCUUUGCAAUUAUGGGUCUUCAACGAGGAAUUCCUAGUAAACGCAAGUCAUCAGCUUGCAUUGAUUACGUCCCUGCCCUUUGUACACACCGCCCGCCGCACCUACCGAUUGAAUGGUCCGGUGAAAUCUCGGGACGGCGGCUCGGUCGCUUGCGUCCGACUGCUGAAACUUGAUUAAACCAUAUCAUUUAGAGGAAGGUGAAGUCGUAACA
rnacentral:rRNA from 1 species